CAGGGAGACAACACAAUGAUUUUGAUGCCUGAGUACUUUUAUUCUUAGGCCGAAAUCCUGUCACCUUAGGUCGAUCGGUACCUCAGCUUUGAAGUCAAGGAUCAGCAGCAAUGUUGAUUGCUUGAUGGAGAUUUUCAGUUCCUAAACUUUGUCUAGGUCACACCCCAAAAGGGAUGAGACUCCUGGGCCAUUAGCUCAGGUGGUUAGAGCGCACCCCUGAUAAGGGUGAGGUCCCUGGUUCAAGUCCAGGAUGGCCCAUUCGGUGUUGGGGGUUUAGCUCAGUUGGUAGAGCGCCUGCUUUGCAAGCAGGAUGUCAGGAGUUCGAGUCUCCUAACCUCCACUGACCGAACUUGAUUCCCAUCUCCAAUUUUUUUGGAGUUGAGCUCGAUUGGAGUGUGAUUUAGAUGUGUCCGCUGGAUGACUCCAGCUUCCUGUCAUUCCAAGUUUUAGGUUAAAGCCUUGAAUUUGGUUGAUAAGAUGCUGGGCUCGGAUCAAAUGAUCAAGUAAUUGAUGAUUUGAUUUGAAGUUCUAGCAGAACCUUGACAACUGCAUAGGUGAGUCUGGAAAAAACAAAGCAUCUUACAGAUGCAUUGUUUUGAAUCUGAUCUUCUGAAAGGGAGAUUAGAUCUAGAACAAUGAAAAUUCUUUUGAGCAAGAGCCGAGACUCUUGAACGUUCUUUGAUUGGUGUCGAGCCAAUCAGAGUUUGAUCUUGUUUUUAGCAAUAAAAACUUGAGAAUCUGCUUUCAACGGCGGUAAGCGUUUAAGAGGUUAAUU
rnacentral:tRNA from 1 species